CACGUAGGGCGCGAGCGUUGUCCGGAAUUAUUGGGCGUAAAGAGCUCGUAGGCGGCCUGUUGCGUCCGCUGUGAAAGCCCGGGGCUUAACCCCGGGCCUGCAGUGGGUACGGGCAGACUAGAGUGCGGUAGGGGAGACUGGAAUUCCUGGUGUAGCGGUGAAAUGCGCAGAUAUCAGGAGGAACACCGGUGGCGAAGGCGGGUCUCUGGGCCGUAACUGACGCUGAGGAGCGAAAGCGUGGGGGAGCGAACAGG
rnacentral:rRNA from 1 species